AUGGAUGAGAGUGUAAAGGCAAAUGAGUUGAACAGUUUUUAUUGUAGGUUUGAAGAAAAAGAUUUUACAUGGGAACAGGAAAAUGCACUGGAAGUUUUAUCUGGACUGGACACUUCUAAAAUAAUUAUUGAUCAGCAUACGGUGGAGAGACUAUUCUCACAUGUUUGUUCCGGCAAGGCUUCUGGGCGGCUACUGCAAUCGUGUAGUAAAGAACUAGCAGAAGCCUGGUGUCCCAUCUACCAGAAGUCUGUAGACACACACACACAGUCCUGGAAGAGUUCUGUUAUUAUCCCUGUCCCUAAAAAGGCUAGUUGUAAAGAGAAUAAUGAUUAUCGUCCAGUGGCAUUGACCUCGAUAGUGAUGAAGUGUUUGGAGAAAAUUAUGAUUAAUCAUGUAAAAACUGAGGUUAGUAGUGUUUUGGAUCCAUUUCAAUUUGCAUAUAGGAGUAACAGAAGUACUGAUGAUGCUGCUGUAACCAUCACACAGUUAAUAAAUAGACAUCUAGAGGAUACUAGCUCAUAUGCACCUCAUGUGUUUUUAGAUUUUAGUUCAGCUUUCAACAUGCUGCAGCCGCAUCUUUUAACUAAGAGGUUAAUGGAUCUUAAAGUUCACCCUCUUAUUAUUAAAUGGUAUCAGUCUUUUUUAACCAACCGUAGGCAGCAGGUUAGUAUUAUUAAAUUCACAGAUGAUACUGCAAUUUUAGGAUUAUUAAAAAAGGAUGGAGAUCUGUCUGAAUAUUUUUCAGAGAUUAGAAGAUUUGAGAACUGGGAUAACAAGCAACUAGCUCUAAAUGUAGGUAAGACAAAGGAAAUGGUGUUUGAUCCUAGAGGAGUGGGUGAUCAAAAUAUAGCACAGGUCUCAUCAUAUAAAUAUCUUGGUGUCUUUUUUGAUGAUUCACUAACAUGGCAUAUACAUGUGGAUAAUCUCUGCAGAAAGAAACAACAAAGAUUGCAUUUUUUACGUCGUCUGAGAGUUUAUGGGGUUGAUCAAAAAUUUAUGGUAAUCUUUUACCAGGCAGUAAUUGAGAGUUUAAUCAGAUACUGUAUCACAGUAUGGUUUGGGAAUCUAUCAGUGCAAUCGAGAUCAAAGCUGAUACGAAUGAUACAUACUGCUUAG
ensembl:lncRNA